rnacentral:misc_RNA from 1 species
GAUGAAGAACGUAGCGAAAUGCGAUACGUAAUGUGAAUUGCAGAAUUCAGUGAAUCAUCGAAUCUUUGAACGCAUAUUGCGCUCUCUGGUAUUCCGGAGAGCAUGCUUGUUUGAGUAUCAGUAAACACCUCAACUCCCCUUUCUUUUUUGAAAUGGGAGCUGGACUUGAGUGAUCCCAACGCUUUUCUCACCGAAAAGUGGCGGGUUACUUGAAAUGCAGGUGCAGCUGGACUUUUCUCUGAGCUAAAAGCAUAUCUAUUUAUUCUGCCUAAAAAACAGAUUAUUACCUUUGCUGCAGCUAACAUAAAGGAGAUUAGUUCUUGUGCUGACUGAUGCAGGAUUCACAGAGACAGCUUCGGCUGGCCUUUGUAAACUCGAUCUCAAAUCAAGUAAGACUACCCGCUGAACUUAAGCAUAUCAAUAAGCGGAGGA